rnacentral:rRNA from 1 species
AUUGAACGCUGGCGGCAUGCCUAACACAUGCAAGUCGAGCGAGCGGCGGACGGGUGAGUAAUGUGUGGGGACUUACCGAUAGAGGGGGGUAAAUACUGGGAACGGUGGCUUAUACCCCCUACUGUCGGCAAACCCAUAUGGGAUUAGCUAGUAGGUAAGGUAAUGGCUUACCUAGGCGACGAUCCCUAGCUGGUCUGGGAGGCUGAUCAGCCACACUGGGACUGAGACACGGCCCAGACUCCUACGGAGGCAGCAGUGGGGAAUAUUGCACAAUGGGCGCAAGCCUGAUGCAGCCACGCCGCGUGUAUGAAGAAGGCCUUAGGGUUGUAAAGUACUGUCAGUCGGGAGGCGGUAUCGACAGAAGAAGCACCGGCUAACUCCGUGCCAGCAGCCGCGGUAAUUC